CUAUAUAAAAUCAUUAAUAUUUUGUCAUUUUUAUAUAGAAAUAUACAGUCAUUUUAUUCUUUAUGUUUAUAUAUAUUUUUAACUAAAGUGCCGUCGUUUUCGUGUAGAGUUUUUAAUAUUCAUUACUCUUCUCUUUUGUUUGUCGAUCCUCCAACUUCUCUCUGCCAAUAUCUCCAUCUCUCAGCCGUAUCUUCAUCUCUCAUACAAGCAUCCAAAGCUUGGUCUUCUGGGUUAGGACAACAAUCGCCAAGAAACAAGAUAUGAUGGUCAACAACCUUUCAUCACUAAUGAUGCAUCCAUAGGUUUUUCCAGGAAACGAUAAAAGGUUCCUAAACCCUGCAGCAGCAUGAUAAGUUUCUUGAGGCUGGUAUUAGCUCCAAGAUCAUGAAGGUAGCCCUUGACCAGCAAAAAGAGAUUGCUGAUGAAGAGAACGCCGAGAGGAACUCCAUCACCGCUGUGUUUUGCGUUGCUUCCGCCUUGAAUGCGGAAGAGGAGAAUAGAGUGAUUUAAGAGGAGGAAGAUGACAUUGAUGAUUUUGAUGGAAAGUACGAUGAUGAUAGUUAUCAAGGGAUGUCAAUGAAGAAGACGAGAAGUUGUUUGAAUUAUUCUUUGUUAAGAAAGCGCCUCCUCAGCAUACUCUUGCUGAUAUCAUUAUCAAGAAGAUCAAAGAUAAUGAUGCUGAGUUACCUGAAGAAGAGCGUCAUGAUCCUGAUCAAAUGGACCCUAUGAUAGCUAAACUAUGUAAAGGGUUAGGACAAAAAUGGACAAGAAACGAGAUAGGAUUGUCAAUGCACAGCCUUUCAUCAUAGAUGAUGCAUCCGUAGGUUCUUCUAGGAAAUGAUCAAAGGUUCCUAAAAUCCAUCAGCAACAAAAUAAGUUGAUUGGAGCUGGCAUUAGCAACAAGAUCAUGAAGGUAUCUCUUGCCCAGCAAAAAGAGAUUGCUGAUUAAGCGAAUGCAUAGAGGAGCCCCAUCACCGCUGUGUUUUCCGCUGCUUCCGCCUUGAAUACGGAAGAGGAGAAGAGAGUGUUUGAGGAGGAGGAAGAUGACAUUGAUCAUUUUUAUGGAAAUUUUGAUGAUGAUAGUUAUCAAGGGGAUGUCAAUGAGGAAGAUGAGAAGUUGUUUGAAUCAUUCUUUGUUAAGAAUGCGCUUCCUCGGCGUACUCUAGAUUACAUCCUUAUCAAGAAGAUCAAAGAUAAUGAUGCCGAGUUAGCUGAAGGUUUGAUGAUCAUGCAUAUAUAUAUCUCUUGUUUGUUUUUUGACUAUUGUAUAUUGUUUGGAUACCUCUGUUUGAUUGUAAAUAUUGUAUCCUUUUUUUGAAGAAGAGCGUCAUGAUCCUCAAAUGGACCCUAUGAUAGCUAAACUAUAUAAAGGGUAAUUAUGUGUUCUCUCCAUUCCUUUUAUUUGUGUAGUAUGUUUCUCACUGCUUCUGAGAAUGAUAUAUAUUGCAGUGUUGCCAACCUUAUGAGUGAAUACACGAUUGGGAAAAUGCCAAGUGCAUUUGUGCGGAUCACAAAUGCUCAUUUAGAUCGAUUUAGUUUAUCGAGUUUUAAAUAAGUUGCCCUCUUGAAAUCAAUUUAUUAAAUGGGUUUUGGCUAAAAUAUAUGAGGACCCUCUGAACCCGUUUAUAUAUCUUUUUAACUGAAAGCGCCGUCAUUUUCAUUUAAAUAUUCAUUAUUCUUGUCUUUUGUUUGUCGAUCCUCCAACUUCUCCCCGCCAAUAUCUCCAUCUCUCAGCCGUAUCUCCAUCUCUCAUACAAGCAUCCAAAGCUUGGUCUUCUGGGUAUCCUCUAAUUUUUUCUAUUUUUGUAAUUUAUGUCUUCUGGGUAUUUUCAAAUUCUGUAAUUUAUGUCUUCUGAGUAUUGAUUAAACUUGAUAUACAUGUAUGAUGUGUGCUAAGUGAAUUUAAUAUUUUUGAAACUUAUUAUUUUUUACUAAGAUUGAAUAAAAAAGCAUCAGUGCUAUAGUCAGAGCCAUCUAAGCUCGUGUUCUUAUUUACUUUUGAAUGAAAAUUGAAUUGAAAGAAUCUGAAAAUAAGACUUUGUUUUAUAUUACAGUAGUGGAUAUGUAAUUCAUUCUUUCUUUGAAAUGUUGUAUAAUGUGACUCAUAUUUGUUAAACGUGUAUGUUUAUAAUGAGAAUACUUUGAUGGAUAUUUGUUUCUCUAUUUACUUUUUAUGUUUUUUUUAAUGUUAAUUCAGUGCCUUGCACAUUGCUUUGUAUAUUGGUUAAUUUGUUUAAUGUUUAAUAUCAAAGAACAUUGCCACUUUCUUUCUCGCAGGUUAGGACAAAAAUGGCCAAGAAACGAGAUAGGAUUGUCAAUGCACAGCCUUUCAUCACUGAUGAUGCAUCCGUAGGUUCUUCCAGGAAACGAUCAAAGGUUCCUAAAAUCCAUCAGCAGCAAAAUAAGGUGACGACUGUAAACUUCAUUCUCAAGCUUUUCUAGAGUGUUGUAAUAACAACCUUUCCUUUCCUUUUGGAGUUGAUUGGAGCUGGUAUUAGCAACAAGAUCAUGAAGGUAUCUCUUGCCCAGCAAAAAGAGAUCGUUGAUUAAGCGAAUGCCGAGAGGAGCCCCUUGAAUGCGGAAGAGGAGAGGAGAGUGAUUAAGGACGAGGAAGAUGACAUUGAUGAUUUUUAUGGAAAUUUUGAUGAUGAUAGUGUCCUUUACUAUCUCUACAUCUUUCUUUUUUUUCGUUUCAGUGUUAAAACAUUACAAGAGAAAUAUAUUUAAAACAAGAUUAGAUGAACAUGUUUAGAUGAUAAAGACUUUGUUGGCUCUUCCCUUCAUGCUUAUAUUUUAUUUAUUUUCAAGCAAGAUUAGAUGAAUAUAAUUUUAAUUUUGACUUUCACAUUUGACUUGUUUUAUUGGUUAGUUGCCGAUUCAUUGAGGUUUGUUGUCACUUUUUUUUAUUUUAGAAAAAAAACAACAUGUUUAGAUAAUACACACUUUGUUGGAUAUUUUUGCUUAUAUUUUAUAUAUUGUGUGAAUAAGCGGGAUGUCAAUGAGGAUGAUUAGAAGUUGUUUGAAUCAUUCUUUGUUAAGAACGCGCCUCGUCAGCGUACUCUAGCUGAGAUCCUUAUCAAGAAGAUCAAAGAUAAUGACGCCGAGUUAGCUAGAAGGUCUGAUAAUCAUGCAUAUAUAUCUCUGGUUUGUUUUUUGACUAUUGUAUAUUGUUUGGACACCUUUGUUUUUGUUUGAUUGUAAAUAUCGUAUUUUUUUGCAGAAGAGCGUCAUGAUCCUCAAAUGGACCCUUUGAUAGCUAAACUAUAUAACAGGUAAUGAUGUGUUCUCUCCAUUCCUUUUAUUUUUGUAGUAUGUUUCUCACUGCUUCUGGGAAUGAUAUUAAUUGCAGUGUUGCCAAGCUUAUGAGUGAAUACACGGUUGGAAAAAUGCCAAGAGCAUUUGUGCGGAUCACAAAUGCUCAUUUAGAUCCACUUAGUUUAUCGUGUUUUAAAUGAGUUGCCCUCUUGAAAUCAACUAAUUGAAUGGGUUUUGAGUAUUGAUUAAACUCUAUAUAGAUGUACGAUAUGUGCUGAGUGAAUUCAAUGUUUCAGAAACUUAUUAUUUUUUACUAAGAUUGAUUUAAACAAGAAGCAUCAGUGUUAUAGUCAGAGCCAUCUAAGCUCCUGUUCCUAUUAACCUUUGAAUGAAACUUAUUAUUUUUACUAAGACUGAUUUAAACAAGAAGCAUCAAUGUUAUAGUUAGAGCCAUCUAAGCUCCUGUUCUUAUUAACUUUUGAAUUAAAAUUGAAUUGAAAGAAUCUGAAAAUAAGACUUUUGUUUUAUAUUACUGUAGUGGAUAUGUAAUUCAUUCUUUCUUUGAAAUGUUGUAUAAUGUGACUCAUAUUUGUUGAACGUGUACGUUAUAGUGAGAAUACUUGAUGCAUAUUUGUUUCCUUGUUUACGUUAUAUGCUUUUUUAUUGUUAACUCGGUGCCUUGCACAUUGCUUUGCAUAUUGGUUAAUUUGUUUAAUGUUUAAUAUCAAUGACCAUUGCCGCUUUCUUUCGUGCAGGUUAAGAAAACAAUGUCCAAGAAACGAGAGGGUAUUGUCAAUGCACAGCCUUUCAUCACUAAUGAUGCAUCCGUAGGUAUUUCCAGGAAACAAUCAAAUGUUCAAAAAACCAAUCAGCAACAAGAUAAGGUGACGACUGUAAACUUCAUUCUCAAGCUUUUGUUUAGUGUUUAAUAUCAACGACCAUUGCCGCUUUCUUGCUCGCAGGUUAGGAAAACAAUGGCCAAGAAACAAGAUAGGAUUGUCAACGCACAGCCUUUCAUCAAUGAUGAUGCAUCCGUAGGUUCUUCCAGGAAACGAUCAAAGGUUCGUAAAACCCAUCAGCAGUUAGAUAAGGUGACGACUGUAAACUUCAUUCUCAAGCUUUUCUAGAAUGUUGUAAUAACACCCUUUCAUUUCCAUGUGCAGUUGCUUGAGGCUGAUAUUAGCUACAAGAUCAUUAAGGUAGCUCUUGCCCAACAAAAAGAGAUCGCUAAAGAAGAGAACGCCGAGAGGAACCCCAUCACCGCUGUGUUUUCUGCUGCUUCCGCCUUGAAUGCGGAAGAGGAGAAGAGAGUGAUUGAGGAGGAGGAAGAUGAUAUUGAUGUUUUUGAUGGAAAGUUCGAUGAUGAUAGUUAUCAAGUGAGUGCCUUUACUCUCUCAAUAUCAUUUUUUUUUUAGUUUCUGUGUUAAAACAUUACAAGUGAAGUCUCUUUCACGCAAGAUUAGAUGAACAUGUUUAGAUGAUAAAAAAUUUGUUGGCUCUUCUCUUCAUGCCUAUAUUUUAUUUAUUUUCAAGCAAGAUUAGAUGAAUAUAGUUUUAAUUUUGAUAUUCACAUUUGAUUUGCUUUAUUGGUUAGUUGCAGAUUCAUUGAGGUUUAUUGCCAUUUUUUUUUUUAAGAAAAAAAACAUGUUUAGAUGAUACACACUUUGUUGGCUAUUUUUGCUUAUAUUUUAUAUAUUGUGUAAAUCAUGGGGAUGUCAAUGAGGAAGAUGAGAAGUUGUUUGAAUCAUUCUGUGUUAAGAACGCGCCUCCUCAGCGUACUCUAGCUGAUAUCCUUAUCAAGAAGAUCAAAGAUAAUGACGCCGAGUUAGCUGAAGGUCUGAUGAUCAUGCAUAUAUAUCUCUCUUUUUUAUAAUAUUGUAUAUUGUUUGGAUACCUUUGUGUGAUUGUAAAUAUUGUAUCUUAUUUUGCAGAAGAGCAUCCUGAUCCUCAAAUGGACCCUAUGAUAGCUAAACUAUAUAAAGGGUAAUGUUGUGUUCUCUCCAUUCCUUUUAUUUGUGUAGUGUGUUUCUCAGUGCUUCUGGAAAUGAUAUUUAUUGCAGUGUUGUCAAGCUUAUGAUUGAAUACACGGUUGGGAAAAUGCCAAGAGCAUUUGUGCGGAUCACAAAUGCUCAUUUAGAUCCAUUUAGUUUAGCGGGUUUUAAAUGAGUUGCUUUCUUGAAAUCAAUUUAUUAAAUGGGGUUUUGGCUAAAAUAUACGAGGACUCUCUUAACCCGUUUAUAUAUUUUUUUAAUUGAAAGCGCCGUUCUUUUCGUUUUAAUAUUCAUUACUAUUCUCUUUUGUUUGUCGAUCCUCCAACUUCUCUCCGCCAAUAUGUCCAUCUUUCAUACAAACAUCCAAAGCUUGGUCUUUGGGUAUUCUCUAAUUUCUUCUCUUUCUGUAGUUUAUGUCUUUUGGGUAUUUUCAAAUCUCUGUAAUUUAUGUCUUUUGGGUAUUGAUUAAACUAUAUAUACAUGUAUGAUGUGUGCUGAGUGAAUUCAAUGUUUCAGAAACUUAUUAUAUUUUUAAUUUGACUGAUUUAAACAAGAAGCAUAAGUGUUAUAGUCAUAGCCAUCUAAGAUCGUGUUCUUAUUCACUUUUGAAUGAAAAUUGAAUUGAAAGAAUCUGAAAAUAAGGCUUUUGUUUUAUAUUACUGUAGUGGAUAUGUAAUUGAUUCUUUCUUUGAAACGUUGUAUAAUAUGACUCAUAUUUUUUGAACGUGUACGUUUAUACUGAGAAUACUUGAUGCAUAUUCGUUUCUCUGUUUACUUUUUAUGCUUUGUUUAAUGUUAACUCAGUGCCUUGCACAUUGCUUUGCAUAUUGGUUAAUUUGUUUAAUGUUUAAUAUCAAUGACCAUUGCCGCUUUUUUUCGUGCAGGUUAAGAAAACAAUGUCCAAGAAACGAGAGGGUAUUGUCAAUGCACAGCCUUUCAUCACUAAUGAUGCAUCCGUAGGUAUUUCCAGGAAACAAUCAAAUGUUCAAAAAACCAAUCAGCAACAAGAUAAGGUGACGACUGUAAACUUCAUUCUCAAGCUUUUCUAGAAUGUUGUAAUAACACCCUUUCCUUUUCUUGUACAGUUUCUUGAGGCUGGUAUUAGCUGCAAGAUCAUGAAGGUAGCUCUUGCCCAGGAAAAAUAGAUCGUUGAUGAAGAGAACGCCGAGAGGAACCCCAUCACCAUUGUGUUCUCCGCUGCUUCCACCUUGAAUGCGGAAGAGGAGAAGAGAGUGACUGAGGCGGAGGAAGAUGACAUUGAUGAUUUUGAUGGAAAGUUCGAUGAUGAUAGUUAUCAAGUAAGUGUCUUUACUCUCCCUACAUAUUUUUUUAAUAUUUUCAUUUCAGUGUUAAAACAUUACAAGAGAAGUCUCUUUCACGCAAGAUUAGAUGAACAUGUUUAGAUUAUACAGACUUCGUUGGCUCUUCUCUUCAUGCUUAUAUUUUAUUUAUUUUCAAACAAGAUUAGAUGAAUAUAGUUUCAAUUUUGACUUUCACAUGUGACUUGUUUUAUUGGUUAGUCGCCGAUUCAUUGAGGUUUAUUGUCACUUUUUCUUAUUUUAGAAAAAUAAGAACAUGUUUAGAUGAUAUGGAUUUUGUUGGUUAUUUGUGCUUAUAUUUUAUAUAUCGUGUGAAUAAGAGGGAUGUCAAUGAGGAAGACGAAAAGUUGUUUGAUUCAUUCUUUGUUAAGAACACGCCUCCUCAGUAUACUCUAGCUGAUAUCAUUAUCAAGAAGAUCAAAGAUAAUGACGCCGAGUUAGCUGAAGGUCUGAUAAUCAUGCAUACAUAUCUUUGUUUUGUUUUUUCACUAUUGUAUAUUGUUUGGAUACCUUUGUUUGAUUGUAAAUCUCGUAUUUUUUUUGAAGAAGAGCGUCAUGAUCCAGAAAUGGUUCCUAUGAUAGCUAAAUUAUAUAAAGGGUAAUGUUGUGUUUUCUGCAUUCCUUUUAUUUGUGUAGUGUGUUUCUCACUACUUCUGGGAAUGAUAUUUAUUGCAGUGUUGCCAAGCUUAUGAGUGACGGUUGGGAAAAUUCCAAGAUCAUUUGUGCGGAUCACAAAUGAUCAUUUUUCAUCCAUUUAGUUUAUCGGGUUUUAAAUGAGUUUCCCUCUUGAAAUCCAUUUAUUUAAUAGGGUUUUGGCUAAAAUAUAUGAGGACUCUCUUAACCUGUUUAAAAGCGCCGUCGCUUUCGUUUUAAUAUUCAUUACUCUUCUAUUUUGUUUGUUGAUCCUCCAUCUUCUCUCCGCCAACAUCUCCAUCUCUCAGCCGUAUCUCCAUCUCUCAUACAAGCAUCCAAAGCUUGGUCUUUGGGUAUUCUCUUAUUUCUUUUCUUUCUGUAGUUUAUGUCUUCUGGGUAUUCUUCAAUAUCUGUAAGUUAUGUCUUCUUGGUAUUGAUUAAACAUGAUAUAUAUGUAUAAUGUGUGCUGAGUGAAUUCAAUGUUUCGUAAACUUAUUAUUUUUUACUAAGAUUGAUUUAAAUAAAAAGAAUCAGUGUUAUAGUCAGAGCCAUCUAAGCUCGUGUUCCAAUUUACUUUUGAAUGAAAACUGAUUUGAAAGAAACUGAAAAUAAGACUUUUUUUAAUACUUCUGUGGUGGAUAUGUAAUUGAUUCUUUCUUUGAAAUGUUGUAUAAUGUGACUCAUAUUUGUUAAACGUGUACGUUUAUAAUGAGAAUACUUGGUGCAUAUUUGUUUCUUUCUUUACGUUUUAUGCUUUUUUAAUGUUAACUCAGUGCCUCUCACAUUGCUUUGCACAUUGGUUGAUUUGUUAAAUGUUUAAUAUUAAUGACCAUUACCGCUUACUUUCUCACAAGUUAGGAAAACGAGCCUUUCAUCACUGAUGAUGCAUUUGUAGGUUCUUCCAGGAAACGAGCAAAGGUUCCUAAAACCCAUCAGCAGCUAGAUAAGUUGCUUGAGGCUGGUAUUAGCUCCAAGAUCAUGAAGGUAGCUCUUUUCCAGCAAAAAGCGAUCUCUGAUGAAGAGAACGUCGAGACGAACUCCAUCACCGCUGUGUUUUCCGCUGCUUCCGCCUUGAAUGCGGAAGAGGAGAAGAGAGUGAUUUGAGAGGAGGAAGAUGACAUUGAUGAUUUUGAUGGAAAGUUAGAUGAUGAUAGUUAUCAAGUGAGUGUUUUUACUCUCUCUACAACUUUUUAUUUUGUAUUGUUUUCGUUUCAAUUUUAAACAUUACAAGAAAAGUCUAUUUCACGCAAGAUUAUAUGAACGUGUUUAGAUGAUAAAUAAUUCGUUAGCUCUUCUCUUCAUGCUUAUAUUUUAUUUAUUUUCAAGCAAGAUUAGAUGAAUAUAGUGUCAAUUUUGACUUUCCCAUGUGACUUGUUUUAUUGGUUAGUUGCCGAUUCAUUGAGGUAUAUUGUCACUUUUUUAUUUUAGAAAAAGAAGAACAUGUCUAGAUAUACAAAAUUUGUUGGCUAUUUGUGCUUAUAUUUUAUAUAUUGUGUGAAUCAAGGGGAUGUCAAUGAAGAAGACGAGAAGUUGUUUGACUCAUUCUUUGUUAAGAAAGCGCCUCCUCAGUGUACUCUUGUUGAUAUCAUUAUCAAGAAGAUCAAAGAUAAUGAUGAUGAGUUAGCUGAAAGUCUGAUGAUCAUGCAUACAUAUAUCUGCUUUGUUUUUGACUAUUGUAUAUUGUUUGAAUAUCAUUGUUUAAUUGUAAAUAUCGUAUCUUUUUUUUUGCAGAAGAGCGUUCUGAUCCUCAAAUGGACCCUAUGAUAGCUAAACUAUGUAAAGGGUAAUGUUGUGUUAUCUUCAUUCCUUUUAUUUGUGUAGUGUGUUUCUCACUGCUUCUGAGAAUGAUAUAUAUUGCAGUGUUGCCAAGCUUAUGAGUGAAUACACGGUUGGGAAAAUGCCAAGAGCAUUUGUGCGGAUCACAAAUGCUCAUUUAGACCGAUUUAGUUUAUCGAGUUUUAAAUGAGUUGCCCUCUUGAAAUCAAUUUAUUAAAUGGGUUUCGGCUAAAAUAUGAGGACCCUUCUAACCCGUUUAUAUAUCUUUUUAACCGAAAGCGCCGUCGUUUUCAUUUUAAUAUUCAUUAUUCUUGUCUUUUGUUUGUCGAUCCUCCAACUUCUCCCCGCCAAUAUCUCCAUCUCUCAGCCGUAUCUCUAUCACUCAUACAAGCAUCCAAAGCUUGGUCUUCUGGGUGUUCUUUAAUUUCUUCUAUUUUUGUAAUUUGUGUCUUCUGGGUAUUUCCAAAUUCUGUAAUUUAUGUCUUCUGAGUAUUGAUUAAACUUGAUAUACAUGUAUGAUGUGUGCUGAGUGAAUUCAAUAUUUUUGAAACUUAUUAUUUUUACUAAGAUUGAAUAAACAAAAGCAUCAGUGUUAUAGUCAGAGCCAUCUAAGCUCGUGUUCUUAUUUACUUUUGAAUGAAAAUCAAAUUGAAAGAAUCUGAAAAUAAGACUUUUGCUUUAUAUUAUGUAGUGGAUAUGUAAUUCAUUUUUUCUUUGAAAUGUUGUAUAAAGUGACUCAUAUUUGUUAAACGUGUACUUUUAUAAUGAGAAUACUUGAUGGAUAUUUGUUUCUCUGUUUAUGUUUUAUGCUUUUUUAAUGUUAACUCAGUGCCUUGCAUAUUGGUUGAUUUGUUUUGUGUUUAAUAUCAAAGAACAUUGCCACUUUCUUUCACGCAGGUUAGGACAAAAAUGGCCAAGAAACGAGAUAGGAUUGUCAAUGCACAGCCUUUCAUCACUGAUGAUGCAUCCGUUGGUUCUUCCAGGAAACGAUCAAAGGUUCCUAAAAUCCAUCAGCAGCAAAAUAAGGUGACGACUGUCAACUUCAUUCUCAAGAUUUUCUAGAAUGUUGUAACAACACCCUUCUAUUUCCUUAUGCAGUUGCUUGAGGUUGGUAUUAGCUCCAAUAUCAUGAAGGUAGCCCUUGGCCAGCAAAAAGAGAUCGCUGAAGAUGAGAACGCCGAGUGGAACUCCAUCACUGCCGUGUUUUCCGCUGCUUCCGACUUGAAUACGGAAGAGGAGAAGAGAGUGAUUUAAGAGGAGGAAGAUGACAUUGAUGAUUUUGAUGGAAAGUUCGAUGAUGAUAGUUAUCAUGUGAGUGCCUUUACUCUCUCUCUACAACUCUUUUUUUUUAUUUUUUUUGUUUCAGUGUUAAACAUUACAAGAAAAGUCUCUUUCACGCAAGAUUAGAUGAACAUGUUUAGAAGAUAAAGACUUCAUUGGCUCUUUUCUUCAUGCUUAUAUUUUAUUUAUUUUCAAGCAAGAUUAGAUGAAUAUUGUGUCAAUUUUGACUUUCCAAUGUGACUUGUUUUACUGGUUAGUUGCCAAUUUAUUGAAGUUUAUUGUCACUUUAUUAUUUUAGAAAAAGAAGAACAUGUCUAGAUUUUACAAACUUUAUUGGCUAUUUGUGCUUAUAUUUUAUAUAUUGUGUGAAUCAAGGGGAUGUCAAUGAAGAAGACGAGAAGUUGUUUGAAUCACUCUUUGUUAAGAAAACGCCUCCUCAGCGUACUCUUGCUGAUAUCAUUAUGAUCUCACUCAAAUUACCCGAAGGAUUGAAUUACUCUCUCAAAUAAUAGGUUCAGUUGUAGUACUUAAGGAUCGAAUUCACAGGGAGCUAAGGAAUCUAAUGAAUCUAAUCAGGUACUUUAAGCUAGGUUGAUUUAAUGAUUUAAAUGUAAAGUUGCAAGUUUGUGAGAAAGUAAUUGCUCGUUUGAUUGAUUGGGGUUUUGGUACUUAGAUGAAAAUAGCUAGACUUAGGGUUUUUAUUCAGGUAAUCAGAAUUAUAAUCCUAAAUAUGCCUAACAAGUUAUAUGCAUGAUAUUAUAGAGCUCAACACUUAUAAACAAACCAUUAGGCUCUCGCUUUCUAGGUUUGUUUAAUGACCUUAUAUUAGUGUCGAUCGAUGAUUCGAUAGGAAUAUCGAUCGAUACACUUGUUGAACCGUCGACCGAUUAUUAGAUAAGAAUAUCGAUCGACGCUUUUGGUCAAGUGUUAAUGUGCGGAUUGAAUGUGCUCACUAAGCUUCCUAGAUCAGCUCUCGCCUUACUCUAGCAAUCUUAGCUCAUUUAGGAUGGAUUCAUGGUGAGAUGCAAGCUAUCACUUAUAUCUACAACUCCUAGGACAAGUUCUAGGUAGCUAAUCUAGAAGCAUGCAUUAAUGACAAUCCUAAAGAUGAAUAUCACAAUUUAGAAAUUUAUAGUUGGGGCUAAUCUCUCAUAACCUAUUUAAACCCUAAAAUCUAACAAGAGAACUACUCAGACAUGGUCAAGCAAUUCAUAGCAGCAAUAAGGUAUAAAAACUGCAUAGAUAAAUAAAUAGAUAUCAAUGGAGUUCCAAUCACAAAUAUCUUUGGAUCUUCUCUCCAAUCUACUAGACAUCCUAGAAAAUCUUUUCCUGUGAAAAUAGUAAAACAAGAAAGCACACUUUGUCUCCAACAUGUUGACAAAGCUUAUAUAAUAAGGUUAAAACUCGUCAGGGGUAAUCUUGUAAAUUGGUGAAUACUUGGGCUCUAAGUCGGCUGAAAUCAAACGGGCUUUCUACGCGAUUCGCCAUCGAUCGAUGUCACAGGAUGUGCAUCGAUCGAUUAUUCUCUGAGUGUCGACCGAUGGUCAGCUCGGAUGCUUUCUCCAAAUGUCUCCAAAAUACUCCAAAAUCAUCACUUUCUCCCAAAUCACUCAUGAUCCUAUAAAUAUACUAAAUAGACUCUAUAAUAUAACAAUUAGUUAUUAAAACACCUAUAAACCAUGGAUAAAAGUGGGUAAAAUCAAUGGCCUAUCAACUCCCCAUUCUUACCAUUGUGCUUGUCCUCAAGCAAAACAUACAUGUAGUCUUUCUGAAAGAAGUUUGAAAACAGCAGGGACUCACAUAAUUUUAAACUUACUACUUUUACCUCUGCAAUGUUGCAAGCCACAUCAGAUCAGUUCCAACUUUAGAGGCACUUCAUGUACUAGACCUCAGCUUAGCAACCAAACAAUCCAGCCCACAGCUUAGCUGAUUCCGCCUGACAUACCCCCUCUACUGACUUCAUUUAUGCAUAUAAAUGUGUAGGCUAAAUCUUAGGAGUAUCGAUCAAGGGACACAUGGACUCUUACUCUAGCAGGUGUCUGAGUAAACGGGUAGUCUUAUUCUGGUUUCCUUUCUCCCUAUACAUCUCUUCUUUGAAUAUCUAUAGUUUCAAUUUCAAUGAAUGUUGAUGCUGAUAA